rnacentral:lncRNA from 1 species
UGGUGAGAAAACUUUCUGGCUGUCAUGAUGGUGCUUAAAAGGUGGUAGAACUAUCAUUAUCCUGUAGGCAACUGUCAGAUAUCGCUGAAGGGAUGAUUUACCAUCACCCUUGUCUUUUCACUUUGCGGGCUGCCUAAAGAGACUCAAAAAGGACUUGUCGAAUAUGCUUUUGGCAAAAUAAGUAAUGAUUGUCCAUGAAAUACAGUCAAGAAUCUUGUUUGAGAUUCUAGCCAUUGGGUCCAGAUUGGAUAUCCGGAUUGGGGAGAUACGCGUCGCAUGUUAGUCCACGUGAUCGUUCGGACAGAGGGUUGGACGUGCCACAUGCCCAACGGAGGAGUACCUUAUAAGGCCGUCACGUGUACGCUUAGAGGUGGUCCUUACAACAACAAACCAAAAUUAAAGUAUAUAUUAUCAAAUUAUUUUCUUUAUUUUGGGAAUUUUGGCAUCCUAUGUAUUGAAUUGUAUGGAAUAGUUGGGUUUCAAAGACUAUACAAACUGACACUGCAGCAUGACGCAGGAAUGGGUUGAGAUUUUUGACUCAAAUUUUUGGCACUGCUAAUAAAUGUGGAAGUGGAACUGCUUGGAGGCAUGCAUAGUUAUUUAGUUGGUUUUCCAAAAAUGGAUUUGAGAAUGACACGCAAUAUGUUUGGCCUCUGCUAUCAGAUGAAUAGGCAGUGACCAUUAUUGUACUGUGAGUUCUCUGACCUCUGAAGCAGACUUUAUGAACCGGCUUUGGAGGUUGUUUUAAGUUUCAACUAUGAAAAUUGACACGUCGCUUUUCAUAUAAUUUUCCUUACACGUGGCAUUAAUAUGUCAUGCAAACCAUUUUGUGAAAAAAUAUUCAAAAGGUAAGAUGUAAUUUAUAGGUAUUUAUCUAACCCUAAUCUCAACUCGAGAAAUUCAACCUAAAUCUAACCUAAAUUUAAAAAUAUUUGUUCAAACCUUUUCGGGUUGCGUCCGAACUAGUCACCCCUAAGUUACAACAGUAAUACUCGGCUUGAGUUACUGAAUGGAAAAGUACUGAAUGGGAGAAGAAUCCUUGAAGCUUUUGUGACCCACUUAUAGUGUCCAUAUGGCGAAGACUCGACGCAUAAAGGAGGUGGAUAGCUGAUAAUCUGGAUCAAUGAAGUCAUCGUCCCUAAAACAUCGACAAAAAAAAAAUGAAAUGAAGUCUUUGAAAUAUGGAAAUGGGGAUUCAUUUGAAAGGAAUUUUUCCAAUAAACAGACAAAGAACUAAAGUUUUUUUGAGACAUCGAAAAGGGUUCUUUUCGGGGAGAUUGAUUAUUUAUUAUUUAAUAACCUAUCUUCCUCAUGGAAUCGGACAAAUUAAUAUCUUGGCGACCAAGCCAGAGCAUGGCAGCAAGGGCAGUGCCAUGGAAGUCCCCGCUCUGAUGACCUUUCUAACUCGUCAACUAUCCGCCACAAGAAAAUGGUCAGAACAAGCAACCCAAGGCCCUUACCUCAUUGCUGACGCGCUGCUGAUAGUGAUUAGUUAAGUACCUUUGCUUCCUCCCCUACCCUACACGGACGCCCUUAAACCUAGCCACAAAAGUCAUCUCCAAAUGCUCAUGGCCUCCCAAUUUCAUAUCCCUCGUAACACAACCCAUCUAAUUCUAGUCACCCAACACCUUAUCACGUGGGAACCACUGGGAUCAUUCUGUCUGUUGUUUAUGUGUUGCCGAAGCUUCAUAAGGAAAAUGGAAGAAAACCAUGUAUCUAUCGGAUUCUUAAAUUAUUUUCUUUAUUUUGGUAUCAAAGAAGAAAUGAAUUGAUGAUGUGGCGUUGUGAGGGAAUGACUUAUUUUUUAUACAAAUUCUUGACGCAUUAAUAAUUGUGGAAUUAGUCAGAGUCGUGCGUAGUAGUUUAUAUGGUUUAACAAGGUGAUGUCAAACUCUAAUUAACUAAAGAUUUUUGAGUAAGAGAAGUCAAUUCAAAUAAAAAUGGGAAUAUAUUGAGAGAAGAAAAUUAAGUAAAUGCAACUGGAUGAACUAGCGGUACUAAUUUAAUUAUUCGGAGACAUGAUGGGGAGAAAUGAUGACUGAUUUAUUUGAAUAAAAAAUGUACAAUUAUUAAGAACGGACCGGAUCAUUCCCCUGCAGUCGGACGAAUUAAUUAUAUACCUUGGUCACCAAGAAAACAGAAGGCGGUCCCCACUGUGAUGACUUGACGAAUUUGUCAAUCAUCCAUCCGCCACGAAAUCAAACCCAACACCCGGCCGGGCCGGCCCGUACGUCAUAGGUGAUGCACCGGUGGCAAGUGCGCCUUUGCUUCCUCCCCAAGCCUGCACACACGCCCUUAAACCUAUAAAAAUCGUCUUCAGUUUCUCAUGGCCUCACAUUCUCGUAUCACUCUGACACUCCCCAAUCAGUUCUAGCUAGCCAAACACCUUAUCCCAUGGCGACCCCCGGAAUCAGUCUGGCCGAAGUUUACGUGUUGCGAAAGCUCCACAAGGAGAAGAUGAAAAGAUCAGCGAAAGAAGAGCGAGCUGGGAGAGAUGAUGUGAAUGUUUCUCACCAUGGAAAGCAAUCUUCGGGUGGUUGCUUCUCGCUCGUGUUCAACAAGGUUCAUCCAAAGGAUUUCCAACCGCCGAUUCAAACAGAAAACAAUCCGAAGCAUGUAAUUAUUAAUUACACCUAGGCCACUUGUAAUGCUGCCUGUAAUUGCUUCUAGUGUGGGUUAGACCACCUGUAAUUUGUACAAUUAGCUUCAUUGGCUUGCCUAGCUUUUUCGCUUUUUGUUUCGAACUAUUUGCAUGUACCCACAAUUAUGUAAACCAUCAAAGCAACAGUACAACGCCUCUUUCACCAUCGUUGAUUUUGACCGGCACUUUCCAAGUUUCCAUGGUCAUUAUAAUUUAUACCAAUAAUCUUCUCCUCAUGAUUUAUACUAGAUGUGUUAUGAUCAUUCACUUGCCGGUAAAGAGGAGCGCUUUGCAGAUAAGCACUAUCAUUGCCUAUGCAAAACCAUCGAUUAAGCUUAUAAAUACAGCUAAUCUAAAUGUGCUUUGGCUUCCAAUUAUUACACUUUUUGACCAUAUUUACUCAUUCACCGAUGAUGCCUUUCAAUUUCCUUUCAUUGUCAAUUGACGUUAGUAUAGUGUUGAAUAAUGGUUGUAAUAAAUUGACUUUCGGUACUACUAGAAUUGCUUCGAAGGCAAACCAGAGAAUUGCCAAAUAAACGGCACUUUACUUUUACUAAUUCUGCAUUUAAUUCAUAAAUCAUUUGGAAAGUCACCCAUGAUGCACGUGCUGUGCAGAUGCGAUCACGUGAUAAAAGUACCCUUGGCCUAGCUGUGAAUAUCACACCCUAUAAGACUGGUUUUGAAAAAUAAUGCUCUUCCUACCAGACCAACCCCAUGUGCCAUCUCCACUUAUGUCAUUGAAACCCGACCCUACCCUUCCCUGUUUCUGGUCCAAAUUCAUUUUCUUCCACGGGACUCAUAAUGCAAUCGAGACGCUAUAUAUAUUCUUCAUAUAGUGGGUGCAUCCCACUCGUUUGCUUCUAUGCGGCAACCAAUUUCAUUGGAUCCUUCCAGUAGGGUUGGCACUUGGCAUAUCUAAUCCAGUUAGGUUUGGUAAAUGUAAUCAAAAUUCAGGUGCUGUUUGUUUUUUGUCUUAUCAUAUAUUUGAAAUUUGAAAAGAAAUAGAUCU